GACGAACGCUGGCGGCGUGCUUAACACAUGCAAGUGGAGCGACGAACCAGGCUUCGGCCUGGGGCAGAGCCGCGAACGGGUGAGUAACACGUGGGUAACCUGCCCUGAUGAUCAGGACAACCCGGGGAAACCCGGGCGUAAUACCGAAUGUGCUGCCCUCGCAUCAGUGAGGGUAGGAAAGGAAGCUUCGGCCUCCGCAUCAGGAUGGGCCCGCGGCCCAUUAGCUUGUUGGUGAGGUAACGGCGUCACCAAGGCUUCGAUGGGUAGCUGGUCUGAGAGGACGGAUCAGCCACACUGGGACUGAGACACGGCCCACGACUCCUACGGGAGGCAGCAGUGGGGAAUCUUGCGCAAUGGGCGAAAGCCUGACGCAGCGACGCCGCGU
rnacentral:rRNA from 1 species